rnacentral:pre_miRNA from 1 species
AUAAUACUCCCUCUGUCCAACAAAAAAUGUCUCAAGUUUGUCAAAAUUUGGAUGUAUCUAGACAUGACUUAGUGUAUAGAUGCAUUCAAAUUUAGUCAAAGUUGAGACAUCCUUUGAGGGAGUAAAUC